rnacentral:rRNA from 1 species
UACGUAGGAGGCAAGCGUUGUCCGGAAUUACUGGGCGUAAAGCGCGUGUAGGUGGUGGGCCAAGUCUGCUGUGAAAGCGCCUGGCUUAACCGGGCGAGGUCGGCGGAAACUGUCCGACUCGAGGACGGUAGAGGGGGGUGGAAUUCCCGGUGUAGUGGUGAAAUGCGUAGAGAUCGGGAGGAACACCUGUGGCGAAGGCGGCCCCCUGGGCCGGCCCUGACACUGAGACGCGAAGGCGUGGGGAGCGAACGGG